rnacentral:rRNA from 3 species
GGGUUGUGAGGUUAAGCGACUAAGCGUACACGGUGGAUGCCCUGGCAGUCAGAGGCGAUGAAGGGCGUGCUAAUCUGCGAUAAGCGCCGGUAAGGUGAUAUGAACCGUUAUAACCGGCGAUACCCGAAUGGGGAAACCCAGUGUGAUUCGUCACACUAUCAUUAACUGAAUCCAUAGGUUAAUGAGGCGAACCGGGGGAACUGAAACAUCUAAGUACCCCGAGGAAAAGAAAUCAACCGAGAUUCCCCCAGUAGCGGCGAGCGAACGGGGAGGAGCCCAGAGCCUGAAUCAGCAUGUGUGUUAGUGGAAGCGUCUGGAAAGGCGCGCGAUACAGGGUGACAGCCCCGUACACAAAAGCGCAUAUGCUGUGAGCUCGAUGAGUAGGGCGGGACACGUGGUAUCCUGUCUGAAUAUGGGGGGACCAUCCUCCAAGGCUAAAUACUCCUGACUGACCGAUAGUGAACCAGUACCGUGAGGGAAAGGCGAAAAGAACCCCGGCGAGGGGAGUGAAAAAGAACCUGAAACCGUGUACGUACAAGCAGUGGGAGCCCCACCACUAAGCCAGUGGUGAACUCCACAUACGCAUCCUUUGCUGAGGAUACGGUUAACGGAGCGAAAGCGACGUUCAACC